rnacentral:rRNA from 1 species
CCUACGGGAGACAGCAGUGGGGGAUAUUGGACAAUGGGGGGAACCCUGAUCCAGCGACGCCGCGUGAGUGAAGAAGUAUUUCGGUAUGUAAAGCUCUGUCAGCAGGGAAGAAAGCAAUGACGGUACCUGACCAAGAAGCCCCGGCUAACUACGUGCCAGCAGCCGCGGUAAUACGUAGGGGGCAAGCGUGAUCCGGAAUUACUGGGUGUAAAGGGAGCGUAGACGGCUGUGCAAGUCUGAAGUGAAAGCCCGUGGCUCAACCGCGGAACUGCUUUGGAAACUGGAUAGCUUGAGUACGGGAGAGGCAGGCGGAAUUCCUAGUGUAGCGGUGAAAUGCGUAGAUAUUAGGAGGAACACCAGUGGCGAAGGCGGCCUGCUGGACAGAAACUGACGUUGAGGCUCGAAAGCGUGGGGAGCAAACAGGAUUAGAUACCCCUGUAGUC